rnacentral:lncRNA from 1 species
GGGGUGUUGCAGGGACUGCUGCAUUUCCUUACUAAGCCUUGAGCUUUUAAAUGUUUAACAAUAUCCUGUAAUCCUUUAUGAGCUUCAAGCCUUAAGAGAUAUUGACUUUGAUAAGGAAAAGUGGUGGGAUUAAUAUAUCCCCCCCUAAUAAAGGUGUGGGACUUUCAGGCAUAACAAGAAAAGCAUGUGAAAAGAGCAAAGUCUCCCAAUUACAACUAGGAGGUGGGAGAAAUCUCAAGGAAGGCCAAAGGAUUUUCUUCCUUUCCCUGAGUUAUGGUGGACAUCAUUGAAUAAUUCAUGGGCUUUUUUCUAAUUCUCCUUACUCCGUCUAGAAC